GGGAUGACACAGUAGGAUAAGCUAAGCACACUGUUGGUUAUGUGUGCCCAAGCAUUGAGGCAGUCAAAGUAGGCAAAUCCGCUUUGAUAAUGCUGGGAUGUGAUGGGGAGCGAAAUUUAGUAGCGAAGUAGCUGAUUUCACACUGUCAAGAAAAGUCUCUAUCGAGGUUAAAGGUACCCGUACCGCCAACCGACACAGGUGGGUGAGGAGAGUAUCCUAAGGCCAGCGAGAGAAC
rnacentral:rRNA from 1 species